AGCCGUGCGGUGAGCACAGAGCGAACUAUUCUUUCGCCUUUUACUAAAGAAUACCGUGUGCUUGCCGUCGAAAACGGCAUACGCUAAUUUUUUAAGGGCUAACGAAUAAUCGGUGGC
rnacentral:snRNA from 1 species